UAAGGAAUAUUGGACAAUGGAGGCAACCCUGAUCCAGCCAUGCCGCGUGAAGGAAUAAGGCCCUAUGGGUUGUAAACUUCUUUUAGACGGGACAAAACCCCUUUACGUGUAAAGGGUUGAUGGUACUGUCAGAAUAAGCAUCGGCUAACUUCGUGCCAGCAGCCGCGGUAAUACGAAGGAUGCAAGCGUUAUCCGGAAUUAUUGGGUUUAAAGGGUGCGUAGGCGGACUAAUAAGUCAGUGGUGAAAGCCUGCAGCUUAACUGCAGAAUUGCCAUUGAUACUGUUAGUCUUGAGUACAGUUGAGGUAGGCGGAAUGUGUCAUGUAGCGGUGAAAUGCUUAGAUAUGACACAGAACACCGAUUGCGAAGGCAGCUUGCUAAGCUGUAACUGACGCUGAGGCACGAAAGCGUGGGGAGCAAACA
rnacentral:rRNA from 1 species